AGAGUUUGAUCAUGGCUCAGGAUUAACGUUGGCGGUAGGCCUAAUACAUGCAAGUCGUACGCAAUUUAUUUUGAGUGGCGAACGGGUGAGUAAUGUAUGUCUAACGUGCCCUAGAGAGGGGGAUAACUGAAAGAAAUUUCAGCUAAUACCCCAUAUCAUCAGAGAAGGCAUCUUCUUUGGUUUAAAGUAGCGUUUGCUGCACUCUAGGAUCGGGACAUAUCGUAUUAGCUAGUUGGUGAGGUAAUGGCUCACCAAGGCGAUUAUGCGUAGCCGGGUUGAGAGACUGACCGGCCACACUGGGACUGAGACACGGCCCAGACUUCUACGGAAGGCAGCAGUAGGGAAUCUUCCACAAUGGGCGCAAGCCUGAUGGAGCCAUACCGCGUGUGGGAUGAAUGCAUUUUUGUUGUAAACCACUGUUGUAAGGGAUGAAAACCCAGGAUAGGAAAUGAUCUUGGCUUGACAGUACCUUACCAGAAAGUCCUGUCUAACUACGUGCCAGCAGACGCGGUAAUACGUAGAGGGCGAACGUUAUCCGGAUUUAUUGGGCGUAAAGGGAGUCUAGCCGGUUCAUUAAGUUCACGUUUAAAUCCAGAGGCUUAACCUCUGUCCGGCGUGAAAACUGGUGAACUAGAAUAACAGAGAGAUCAGUGGAAUUCCAUGUGUAGCGGUGGAAUGCGUAGAUAUAUGGAGGAACGCCAGUUGCGAAGGCGGCUGAUUGGAUGAUUAUUGACGGUAAAGCUCGAAAGCGUGGGGAGCAAAUAGGAUUAGAUACCCUAGUAGUCCACGCCGUAAACGUUCUUCACUAGGUAUAGGGAUGACCCUGUGCCGCAGCUAACGCGUUAAGUGAAGCGCCUGGGGAGUACGCGCGCAAGCGUAAAACUCAAAGGAAUUGACGGGGACCCGCACAAGCGGUGGAGCAUGUGGUUUAAUUCGAUGAUACGCGAAGAACCUUACCUGAACUUGACAUCCUUUGCAAAGCUAUGGAAACAUAGUGGAGGUUAACAGAGUGACAGGUGCUGCAUGGCUGUCGUCAGCUCGUGUCGUGAGAUGUUGGGUUAAGUCCCGCAACGAGCGCAACCCUCGCCCUUAGUUGCCAGCAUUUAGUUGGGCACUCUAGGGGAACCGCCGGUGACAAGCCGGAGGAAGGUGGGGAUGACGUCAAGUCCUCAUGGCCCUUACAAGGUGGGCUACACACGUGCUACAAUGGCAGUGACAAUGGGAUAAUCCCAAAAAGCUGUCUCAGUUCGGAUUGUCUUCUGCAACUCGAAGGCAUGAAGUUGGAAUUGCUAGUAAUCGCGUAACAGCAUGACGCGGUGAAUACGUUCCCGGGCCUUGUACACACCGCCCGUCACACCAUGGGAGUUGGGUUUACCCGAAGAUGGUGCGCCAACCUUAGGGAGGCAGCCUGCCACGGUAAGUUCAGCGACUGGGGUGAAGUCGUAACAAGGUAGC
rnacentral:rRNA from 1 species